rnacentral:rRNA from 1 species
UCGGGAAUUUUGGGCAAUGGGGGCAACCCUGACCCAGCAACGCCGCGUGAGGGAUGAAGGCCUUCGGGUCGUAAACCUCUGUCGGGAGGGAAGAAAGGUAACUGGUCGAAUAGGCCAGGGGCUUGACGGUACCUCCAAAGGAAGCGCCGGCUAACUCCGUGCCAGCAGCCGCGGUAAUACGGAGGGCGCAAGCGUUGUUCGGAAUCAUUGGGCGUAAAGCGCGUGUAGGCGGCUUGGCAAGUCGGGUGUGAAAGCCCGGGGCCCAACCCCGGAACUGCACUCGAAACUGCGUCGCUAGAGUCCCGGAGAGGAAGGCGGAAUUCCAGGUGUAGAGGUGAAAUUCGUAGAUAUCUGGAGGAACACCAGCGGCGAAGGCGGCCUUCUGGACGGUGACUGACGCUGAGACGCGAAAGCGUGGGGAGCAAACAGGAUUAGAUACCCCUGUAGUCC